rnacentral:lncRNA from 1 species
AGCCAGGAUCGAUUCCUGGUUGUGUCAAAAGCAUGUUAAUGUCAGGCAUCGUUGUUAAUUAAUUCCACCCGAGACGAAAAUUAGCCAAGUAGAAUAAAAAAGGUCUACUGGUAAGGACGAACUGUUGCAAGUGCGUAAAACCAGGAUCGAUUCCUUGUUGUGUCAAAAGCAUUUUAAUGUCAUGCAUCGUUGUUAAUUAAUUCCACCCGAGACGAAAAUUAGGCAAGUAGAAUAAAAAAGGAGUUAAAGCAAGUGUAGGCGAAAUGGUCUAGUGGUAAAGGCAAAGUGUUGCAAGUGCGUAAAGCCCGGAUCGAUUCUUUGUUGUGUCAAAAGCAUUUUAAUGUCAGGCAUCGUUGUUAAUUAAUUCCACCCGAGACGAAAAUUAGCCAAGUAGAAUAAAAAAGGAGUUAAAGCAAGUGUAGGCGAAGUGGUCUAGUGGUAAAGGCAAAGUGUUUACAAGUGCGUAAAGCCAAGAUCGAUUCCUGGUUGUGUCAAAAGCAUUUUAAUGUAAGGCGUCGUUGUUAGUUAAUUCCACCCGAGACGAAAAUUAGCCAAGUAGAAUAAAAAAAGGAGUUAAAGCAAGUGUAGGCGAAAUGGUCUAGUGGUAAAGGCAAAGUGUUUGCAAGUGCGUAAAGCCAGGAUCGAUUCCUGGUUGUGUCAAAAGAAUUUUAAUGUCAGGCAUCGUUGUUAAUUAAUUCCACCCGAGACGAAAAUUAGCCAAGUAGAAUAAAAAAGGAGUGAAAGCAAGUGUAGGUGAGAUGGUCUAGUGGUAAGGACGAAGUGUUGCUAUUGCGUGAAU